rnacentral:rRNA from 1 species
AAGGAUCAUUACCGAGUUCAUGCCCUUCGGGGUAGAUCUCCCACCCUUUGUAUACUAUACCUUUGUUGCUUUGGCGGGCCGCCUAGCUACUGGCUUCGGCUGGUAAGUGCCCGCCAGAGAACCCAAAACCCUGAAUUAUUAGUGUCGUCUGAGUAAAAUAUUUAAUAUUUAAAACUUUCAACAACGGAUCUCUUGGCUCUGGCAUCGAUGAAGAACGCAGCGAAAUGCGAUAAGUAAUGUGAAUUGCAGAAUUCAGUGAAUCAUCGAAUCUUUGAACGCACAUUGCGCCCCUUGGUAUUCCGAGGGGCAUGCCUAUUCGAGCGUCAUUAUCACCCCUCAAGCCUAGCUUGGUGUUGAGACCUGCUGUCAAGGCAGUCUCUAAAAUCAGUGGCAGUGCUGUCAGGCUCUAAGCGUAGUAAAUUCAUCGCUAUAGACACCUGGUGGCCACUCGCCAGAACCCCCCCAUUUUUUAAUGAUUGACCUCGGAUUAGGUAGGGAUACCCGCUGAACUUAAGCAUAUCAAUAAGCGGAGGAAAAGAAACCAACAGGGAUUGCCUCAGUAACGGCGAGUGAAGCGGCAAAAGCUCAAAUUUGAAAUCUGGCUCUUUUAGGGUCCGAGUUGUAAUUUGUAGAAGAUGUUUCGGGUGUGGCUCCGGUUUAAGUUCUUUGGAAUAUUACAUCAUAGAGGGUGAGAAUCCCGUAUGUGACCGGCAGCCUUCGCCUAUGUGAAACUCUUUCGACGAGUCGAGUUGUUUGGGAAUGCAGCUCAAAAUGGGAGGUAUAUUUCUUCUAAAGCUAAAUAUUGGCCAGAGACCGAUAGCGCACAAGUAGAGUGAUCGAAAGAUGAAAAGCACUUUGGAAAGAGAGUUAAACAGUACGUGAAAUUGUUGAAAGGGAAGCGCUUGCAACCAGACUUGCACGCAGUUGAUCAUCCGGUGUUCUCACCGGGGCACUCUGCUGCGUUCAGGCCAGCAUCGGUUUUGGUGGUUGGAUAAAGGCCUUGGGAAUGUGGCUUCCUUCGGGGAGUGUUAUAGCCCUCGGUGCAAUGCAGCCUACCGGGACCGAGGACCGCGCUUCGGCUAGGAUGCUGGCGUAAUGGUUGUAAGCGACC